rnacentral:snRNA from 1 species
GGAUGUGAGGGCAAUCUGGCUGCGACAUCUGUCACCCCACUGAUCGCCAGGGUUGAUUCGGCUGAUCUGGCUGGCUAGGCGGGUGUCCCCUUCCUCCCUCGCCGCUCCAUGUGCGUCCCUCCCGAAGCUGCGUGCUCAGCCGAAGAGGACAACCUUCCCCGAUAGAGGAGGACCGUUCUUCGGUCAAGGGUAUACGAGUAGCUGUGCUCCCCUGCUAGAACCUCCAAACAAGCUCCCAAGGUCCAUACCUCAGUUUCUUCUCUUGUAGAGCAGGUGGGUUAAUAAGAGUACUUGCCUUGUAAUGUUGACUUAAUAGUUGUGAAAAUAUAAGAGUC